GCUGCGCUCGCUCCCGCAGCCCGCAGAGGGAAACGCGUUUCUGCGGAAAAAUCCAUUAAGCUCAGAUUCAGCCUCACCGACGAGAGCGAAACAGCUUUUAUUAACGCCUUUGCUGCGAUGAGGGAGAACUCCGGGCUGUCAGCUGUGACUGCAGGAAGGCUGUGGGUGCUGUGCUCAGGAUGCAUAAUAAAAAAGGAUGAGGAAUUGCACGUCAACAUGUCAGUGGAAAGUGAGGACACGAGAUAUUGUUUACCAACGUUGUGCUUCAGUCAGGAUGGGAAAGCUGUCAAAUGGGAAGGACGGAGCAGAGCCUGAGUUUCUCUCUGGUUGGGCUUUGCAGUCCUUCUUUGACUUAUUUUUUCCCCUUCUUUCAUGCUGGGCAGCACUGGGUUGCCCUGAUUGUGUUUGGCAGAGGCCAUAGGAGCCCCAUUGUGACCCCCAGUGCUGUGCCACCUCCUGUGCCAGCUGGGCUGUGCUGUGACCAUAUCAUGCCACGCACACCCCCUCUGCCACACGGCCACCAGCCAGGGUUGGUGUCAGCUCUGCUCAGCUCAGCUCAAACGUGCACAGGCAUUUCCUCUCCUGCUUCAUUUUACAGUGCUCUUAAUAAUAAAUUUCCACUAUGUGUUUGGGCAGAGGCUGAGCAUAGCCCCAGUUUAAUCAGGGAUGCAGGAAGACAGCAUGCUCACACCUUGCAGAAGCUGCAAUCUCCUGAUCUCCUCUGCCGGAAAUGCAGCAGGUUUAUUAUUUUUUUAAUUAUUUUUAAAACCGUCCUCUGGUUGCCAUGGUUUCAGGGAAACAGAGGGCUGGCACUGCUGGGAGCUUUCCCUGGUCGUGCCACAGGGCUGAUUUGGCUGUGGGUUCCAAUGCCAACGUUGUCACCUGGACUACCUUCAGUACACAGCGAGCAGCAUCCUCUGCCCUCACCUCAAGGGAUUCCUUGGCUGCAGAGUGGUUGCAGAGAGGACGCCUGCCCUGCAGAUUUGCAAUGCACGUGUGCGAGCCAGGCACCUUACACCUUCAGGAAAAUGUAGCAAUGUGUUUGCAGGAAGCCCUGCUGGCCUGCAUCCCUGCUAUUAGAAAUGCUGUCAGCUCUGGGGCAAUCCGAGAGGACUGCAGCUCUCAGGUGCCUUUCAGAGGGACUCUGACAGCUUAGGAAAUUCCCUCGGAAUAGUUCCUGCCUUCAGUGCUGGGCAGUAUCAUGCUGCUUAAUCACUUUUGAAGUUCAGGGAAUCCAUAAUCUGGCUGGAAAAUGUGGAGAAAGCAAAAUCUGCUCUGCAAGAGCUGGAAGAGAGGGCAGAGAGUGAGCUCUGAGGGUAGGACUGCUUCCAUUUAAACAGGCAUUUGUUGGUGCAAAGUGGAGUUUGUGUAGGUGCUGUAAGUGUAUACUCACCUUGGCCUUUCUUUCCUUUUGAAUGAAGAUGAUUCAUUUGAUUUUUUUUUUUUUUUUUUUUUUUUUUUUUUUGCUGCCUUUCCCUUCCAUGAUUGUUUCUGAGCUCAGUGAUGGUUUCUCAUUCCUUCUGGCAGCAACGUGGGGCAGUGAAGGCAGAGGAUCUCAGGAGAACAGGAGGACUUUGCUCCUCCUCCUCAGCCACCCACCCUUCCCAAUGCCAAUAACACUGUAUUGCAAGGGAGAACCUGUCCCACAAGUGGCACAAUUCAGUGAAUGCAUAAGUGACGUAAACCAGGGCUAUAGUUAUGAUGAACAACAGAAAAAGGAAGAAUUUGACCCUCUGCACUUUCCUUGAUGAGUUAAUGGCGACACUUCAAACCCAGCAUCGUUAAAGCCUUCAGGAGAAUGGCAGCUCAUAUAAAUGGAGGGCAAUUCCUGCUUCUGUGUGGACCAGAGCCACCAAAAUGACUCUUCUCAUAGCAUCAGCUCCUCUGUGACCAGCAGAGUGAGAGUCCAAGAGGUUAAAAAUAGGGAGGCAGGAAGAAACGUGUCCACCUCCAUUUCUUCUUUUUUCCCUUACCAAAUUGAAUAACCUCCACCGGGGAGCUCCUACCACUCCUAAAUGGUUGACUGAAGGUCCAAUUUAUUUCCUGUCACACUCUCCCAUGCUCUGAUGUGAUGCGGUCUGCCCUGCGAGCACUGAGCAGACUCUCCUUGAGCCAUCUGCACACCCUGCAUCCACUGCCAGCUCCUUUUUAGUGUUUUGAUCGGUUGGUUUGGUUUGGUUUUGGAAAUAAAUCCUUAUAUUUCCAUAA